AAGACUAUACUUUCAGGGAUCAUUUCUAUAGUUCUUAACUAGGAAAUGUACUAAGAAAGUGGUGAGUCUCCCAAACCACGAUGAAGAGCUUUGAUACUCUUUCCUGAGCGUGAAUCGGGUGUAAAGUAAUGAUUCAGUUCAUACGCUUUACAUCAUUGAUGAACGUUCCUUUCUGUGUAAUACGGUUAGGAUGGAAGGAGUAUGAUCAGAGUGGU